CAGUGAAAGUCUCGCAGUGGACAGUGGAGGUCUCGCAGUGGUCAGUGAAGGUCUCGCAGUGGACAGUAAACGUCUCGCAGCGGACAGUCAAGGUCUCGCAGUGGUCAGUGAAGGUCUCGCAGUGGUCAGUGAAGGUCUCGCAGUGGUCAGUGAAGGUCUCGCAGUGGACAGUGGAGGUCUCGCAGUGGUCAGUGAAGGUCUCGCAGUGGACAGUGGAGGUCUCGCCGUGGACAGUAAACGUCUCGCAGUGGUCAGUGAAAGUCUCGCAGUGGACAGUGGAGGUCUCGCAGUGGUCAGUGAAGGUCUCGCAGUGGACAGUGAAGGUCUCGCAGCGGACAGUGGAGGUCUCGCAGUGGACAGUAAACGUCUCGCAGUGGACAGUGAAGGUCUCGCAGUGGACAGUGAACGACUCGCCGUGGACAGUAAACG